AGUUUGAUCCUGGCUCAGAUUGAACGCUGGCGGGAUACUUUAUGCAAGUCGAACGGCAGCACGGACUUCGGUCUGGUGGCGAGUGAACGGGUGAUAUGCCUCGGAACGUGCCUGGCGGCGGGGGAUAACUGCACGCGGCGUAUCAUACCGCAUCGCCCUUCAGAGAAAGCGGGGACCUUCGGGCCUCGCACUAUUGAAACGGCCGAUAUCAGACCAGCUGGACGGUGGGAGUAACGGCUUCCACCCGGGCGACGAUCCGUAGCUGGUUUGAGAGGACGACCAGCCACUGGGACUGAGACCUGGCAGACUCCUACGGGGAGGCAGCAGUGGGUACGGACAAUGGAAGCCACCAGUCCAGCUGACCAUCCGCGUGUGCGAUGAAGGCCGCCGGGUUGUAAAGCACUUUUGGCAGGAAAGAAACGGCGCGGAUAAUACCCAGUACAACGGCGAACCUGCAGGGCAGCACCGGCUAACUGCAUUUUAGCAGCGCGGUAAUACGUAGGGUGCAAGCGUUAAUCGAAUUACUGGGCAUAAAGCGUGCGCAGUGGUUCGGAAAGAAAGAUGUGAAAUCCCGAGCUUAACUUUGGAACUGCAUUUUUAACUACCGAGCUACUGGGGAGUGUGUCAGAGGGAGGUGCGAUUCCGCGAUGUAAGCGGUGAAGUAAGCGAAUAUGCGGAGAACACCGAUGGCGAAGGCAGCCUCCUGGGAUAACAUGGCGCUCCAUGCACGCAGCGUGGGAGCAAACAGGAUUAAAUACACAGGUAGGUCACGCCUAGCGCAAAUAUCAACUAGCUGUUGGAACCUUCGGCCUUGGUAGCGCAGCUAACGCGUGAAGUUGACCGCCUGGGGGUACGGUCGCAAGAUUAAAACUCAAGGAAUUGACGGGGACCCGCACAAGCGAGGUGAGUGAUGUGUAAUUCUGAUGCAACGCGAAAAACCUUACCUACCCUUGACAUGUCUGAAUCCCGAAGAUUUGGGAAUUGCUCGCAAGAGAACCGGAACACAGGUGCUGCAUGGCUGUCGUCAGCUCGUGUCGUGAGAUGUUGGAUUCGUCCCGCAACGUGACCUUGUCAUUAUGAUUGCUGAAAGGGCACUCUAAUGAGACUGCCGGUGACAAACCGGAGGAAGGUGGGGACGUCCAAGUCCUCGCUGGCCCUUAUGGUGCAGGAGCUUCACGUCGCUAAUGGGUCGGGACAGAGGGUCGCCAACCCACGAAGAAGGUAUUGACGAUCAUGGUCGGAUCACCAGUCUGCAACUCGACUGCGUGAAGUCAGAAUCGCUAGUAAUCGCGGACCAGCAUGUCGCGGUGAAUACGUUCCAGGUCUUGUACACACCGCCCGUCACACCAUGAGGUGGGUUUACCAGAAGUAGAUUAGCUAACGCCGUAAGGAGGGCGAUUACCCACGGUAGGAUUCGCGGCCUGAGGUGAAGUCAUGCUCA
rnacentral:rRNA from 1 species